CGGGUGUAAUUCAGCGGUAGAAUGCCACUUUUCCAAAGUGGACGCCACGGGUUCGAAUCCCGUCACCCG
rnacentral:tRNA from 1 species